rnacentral:rRNA from 1 species
UUAAGUUAGAAAGGGCGCACGGUGGAUGCCUUGACACUAGGAGUCGAUGAAGGACGGGACUAACGCCGAUAUGCUUCGGGGAGCUGUAAGUAAGCUUUGAUCCGAAGAUUUCCGAAUGGGGAAACCCACCAUACGUAAUGGUAUGGUAUCCUUAUCUGAAUACAUAGGGUAAGGAAGACAGACCCAGGGAACUGAAACAUCUAAGUACCUGGAGGAAGAGAAAGCAAAUGCGAUUUCCUGAGUAGCGGCGAGCGAAACGGAACAUAGCCCAAACCAAGAGGCUUGCCUCUUGGGGUUGUAGGACAUUCUAUACGGAGUUACAAAGGAACGAGGUAGACGAAGCGACCUGGAAAGGUCCGUCGUAGAGGGUAACAACCCCGUAGUCGAAACUUCGUUCUCUCUUGAAUGUAUCCUGAGUACGGCGGAACACGUGAAAUUCCGUCGGAAUCUGGGAGGACCAUCUCCCAAGGCUAAAUACUCCCUAGUGAUCGAUAGUGAACCAGUACCGUGAGGGAAAGGUGAAAAGCACCCCGGAAGGGGAGUGAAAGAGAUCCUGAAACCGUGUGCCUACAAAUAGUCAGAGCCCGUUAACGGGUGAUGGCGUGCCUUUUGUAGAAUGAACCGGCGAGUUACGAUCCCGUGCGAGGUUAAGCUGAAGAGGCGGAGCCGCAGCGAAAGCGAGUCUGAAUAGGGCGUUUAGUACGUGGUCGUAGACCCGAAACCAGGUGAUCUACCCAUGUCCAGGGUGAAGUUCAGGUAACACUGAAUGGAGGCCCGAACCCACGCACGUUGAAAAGUGCGGGGAUGAGGUGUGGGUAGCGGAGAAAUUCCAAUCGAACCUGGAGAUAGCUGGUUCUCCCCGAAAUAGCUUUAGGGCUAGCCUUAAGUGUAAGAGUCUUGGAGGUAGAGCACUGAUUGGACUAGGGGUCCUCAUCGGAUUACCGAAUUCAGUCAAACUCCGAAUGCCAAUGACUUAUCCUUAGGAGUCAGACUGCGAGUGAUAAGAUCCGUAGUCAAAAGGGAAACAGCCCAGACCGCCAGCUAAGGUCCCAAAGUGUGUAUUAAGUGGAAAAGGAUGUGGAGUUGCUUAGACAACUAGGAUGUUGGCUUAGAAGCAGCCACCAUUUAAAGAGUGCGUAAUAGCUCACUAGUCGAGUGACUCUGCGCCGAAAAUGUACCGGGGCUAAAUACACCACCGAAGCUGCGGAUUGAUACCAAUGGUAUCAGUGGUAGGGGAGCGUUCUAAGGACAGUGAAGUCAGACCGUAAGGACUGGUGGAGUGCUUAGAAGUGAGAAUGCCGGUAUGAGUAGCGAAAGACGGGUGAGAAUCCCGUCCACCGAAUGCCUAAGGUUUCCUGAGGAAGGCUCGUCCGCUCAGGGUUAGUCAGGACCUAAGCCGAGGCCGACAGGCGUAGGCGAUGGACAACAGGUUGAUAUUCCUGUACCACCUCUUUAUCGUUUGAGCAAUGGAGGGACGCAGAAGGAUAGAAGAAGCGUGCGAUUGGUUGUGCACGUCCAAGCAGUUAGGCUGAUAAGUAGGCAAAUCCGCUUAUCGUGUAUGCUGAGCUGUGAUGGGGAAGCUCCUUAUGGAGCGAAGUCUUUGAUUCCCCGCUGCCAAGAAAAGCUUCUAGCGAGAUAAAAGGUGCCUGUACCGCAAACCGACACAGGUAGGCGAGGAGAGAAUCCUAAGGUGUGCGAGAGAACUCUGGUUAAGGAACUCGGCAAAAUGACCCCGUAACUUCGGGAGAAGGGGUGCUUUCUUAACGGAAAGCCGCAGUGAAUAGGCCCAAGCGACUGUUUAGCAAAAACACAGCUCUCUGCGAAGCCGUAAGGCGAAGUAUAGGGGGUGACACCUGCCCGGUGCUGGAAGGUUAAGGAGAGGGGUUAGCGUAAGCGAAGCUCUGAACUGAAGCCCCAGUAAACGGCGGCCGUAACUAUAACGGUCCUAAGGUAGCGAAAUUCCUUGUCGGGUAAGUUCCGACCCGCACGAAAGGUGUAACGAUUUGGGCACUGUCUCAACCAGAGACUCGGUGAAAUUAUAGUACCUGUGAAGAUGCAGGUUACCCGCGACAGGACGGAAAGACCCCGUGGAGCUUUACUGUAGCCUGAUAUUGAAUUUUGGUACAGUUUGUACAGGAUAGGCGGGAGCCAUUGAAACCGGAGCGCUAGCUUCGGUGGAGGCGCUGGUGGGAUACCGCCCUGACUGUAUUGAAAUUCUAACCUACGGGUCUUAUCGACCCGGGAGACAGUGUCAGGUGGGCAGUUUGACUGGGGCGGUCGCCUCCUAAAGUGUAACGGAGGCGCCCAAAGGUUCCCUCAGAAUGGUUGGAAAUCAUUCGUAGAGUGCAAAGGCAUAAGGGAGCUUGACUGCGAGACCUACAAGUCGAGCAGGGACGAAAGUCGGGCUUAGUGAUCCGGUGGUUCCGCAUGGAAGGGCCAUCGCUCAACGGAUAAAAGCUACCCCGGGGAUAACAGGCUUAUCUCCCCCAAGAGUCCACAUCGACGGGGAGGUUUGGCACCUCGAUGUCGGCUCAUCGCAUCCUGGGGCUGUAGUCGGUCCCAAGGGUUGGGCUGUUCGCCCAUUAAAGCGGUACGCGAGCUGGGUUCAGAACGUCGUGAGACAGUUCGGUCCCUAUCCGUCGUGGGCGUAGGAAAUUUGAGAGGAGCUGUCCUUAGUACGAGAGGACCGGGAUGGACGCACCGCUGGUGUACCAGUUGUUCUGCCAAGGGCAUAGCUGGGUAGCUAUGUGCGGAAGGGAUAAGUGCUGAAAGCAUCUAAGCAUGAAGCCCCCCUCAAGAUGAGAUUUCCCAUAGCGUAAGCUAGUAAGAUCCCUGAAAGAUGAUCAGGUUGAUAGGUUCGAGGUGGAAGCAUGGUGACAUGUGGAGCUGACGAAUACUAAUAGAUCGAGGACUUAACCAU